AGAGUUUGAUCCUGGCUCAGAUUGAACGCUGGCGGCAUGGCUAAAGCAUGCAAGUCGAACGAAAACCAGGCUUCGGCCUGGGGACAGUGGCGAAAGGGCGAGUAAUGCACUCCUACGUACCCCGAGGCGGGGGAUAGGUCGGGGAAACGCGGCGUAAUACCCUAUGUGCUCUCAGGAGGAAAGGCUUCGGCCGCCUCGGGAGCGGGGAGCGUCCUAUCAGGUUGUUGGUGAGGUAACGGCUCACCAAGCCAAAGACGGGUAGCGGGUGUGAGAGCAUGACCCGCCGCAUCGGGACUGAGACACUGCCCGGACUCCUACGGGAGGCUGCAGCGACGAAUCUUCCGCAAUGCGCGAAAGCGUGACGGAGCAAUGCCGCGUGUGGGAUGAAGCGGCUUCGCCGUGUAAACCACUGUCAGGGGUUAGAAAUACUGAUCAACCCCAAAGGAAGGGCCGGCUAACCUCGUGCCAGCAGCCGCGGUAAGACGAGGGGCCCAAGCGUUAAUCGGAAUUACUGGGCUUAAAGGGUGCGUAGGCGGAUGCGAAGGUGUCUUGUGAAAUCCCUCGGCUCAACCGAGGAACUGCACGGCAAACCACGUGUCUUGAGACAGGUAGAGGUCGUCGGAACGAUAGGUGGAGCGGUGAAAUGCGUAGAUAUCUAUCGGAACGCCAAUGGAGAAGUCAGGCGACUGGGCCUGUUCUGACGCUGAGGCACGAAAGCGUGGGGAGCGAACGGGAUUAGAUACCCCGGUAGUCCACGCCCUAAACGAUGUGCACUAGGUCGUGGCGGCUCUGACGCCUUCUUGGCCGAAGAGAAAUCGUUAAGUGCACCGCCUGGGGAGUACGGUCGCAAGGCUAAAACUCAAAGGAAUUGACGGGGGCUCACACAAGCGGUGGAGCAUGUGGCUUAAUUCGAACCAACGCGCAGAACCUUACCAGGGCUUGACAUGCACGGAUUAGUUCAUGGAAACAUGGGUGACGCCCUUCGGGGUGGAACGUGCACAGGUGCUGCAUGGCUGUCGUCAGCUCGUGCUGUGAAGUGUCGGGUUAAGUCCCUUAACGAGCGCAACCCCUAUCGCUAGUUGCCAGCGGGUAAUGCCGGGGACUCUAGCGAGACUGCCGGUGUCAAACCGGAGGAAGGUGGGGACGACGUCAAGUCCUCAUGGCCUUUAUGCCCUGGGCUGCAAACGUGCUACAAUGGCGUAUACAAAGCGAGGCGAUGUCGCGAGGCGGAGCAAAUCGCAAAAAGUACGCCCCAGUUCGGAUUGCAGGCUGCAACUCGCCUGCAUGAAGUCGGAAUCGCUAGUAAUCGGAGAUCAGCUACGCUCCGGUGAAUGUGUCCCUGAGCCUUGUACACACCGCCCGUCACGUCAUGGAAGCUGGGAGUGCCCGAAGUCGCCUCGAUUCAGGGGUGCCUACGGCAAGUUCGAUGACUGGGACGAAGUCGUAACAAGGUAGCCGUAGGAGAACCUGCGGCUGGAUCACCUCCUU
rnacentral:rRNA from 1 species